ACGUAGGGGGCAAGCGUUGUCCGGAUUUACUGGGUGUAAAGGGUGCUCAGGUGGAUUUGUUAGUCGGAGGUGAAACUCCGGAGCUUAACUCCGGAACUGCCUCCGAAACAGCAAGUCUUGAGUUUGGUAGAGGAUGAUGGAAUAUCUGGUGUAGCAGUGAAAUGCGUAGAUAUCAGAUAGAACACCAAUGGCGAAGGCAGUCAUCUGGCCAUAACUGACACUAAAGCACGAAAGCGUGGGGAUCAA
rnacentral:rRNA from 1 species